AUGCUGUGAGCUCGAUGAGUAGGGCGGGACACGUGGUAUCCUGUCUGAAUAUGGGGGGACCAUCCUCCAAGGCUAAAUACUCCUGACUGACCGAUAGUGAACCAGUACCGUGAGGGAAAGGCGAAAAGAACCCCGGCGAGGGGAGUGAAAAAGAACCUGAAACCGUGUACGUACAAGCAGUGGGAGCACGCUUAGGCGUGUGACUGCGUACCUUUUGUAUAAUGGGUCAGCGACUUAUAUUCUGUAGCAAGGUUAACCGAAUAGGGGAGCCGAAGGGAAACCGAGUCUUAACUGGGCGUUAAGUUGCAGGGUAUAGACCCGAAACCCGGUGAUCUAGCCAUGGGCAGGUUGAAGGUUGGGUAACACUAACUGGAGGACCGAACCGACUAAUGUUGAAAAAUUAGCGGAUGACUUGUGGCUGGGGGUGAAAGGCCAAUCAAACCGGGAGAUAGCUGGUUCUCCCCGAAAGCUAUUUAGGUAGCGCCUCGUGAAUUCAUCUCCGGGGGUAGAGCACUGUUUCGGCAAGGGGGUCAUCCCGACUUACCAACCCGAUGCAAACUGCGAAUACCGGAGAAUGUUAUCACGGGAGACACACGGCGGGUGCUAACGUCCGUCGUGAAGAGGGAAACAACCCAGACCGCCAGCUAAGGUCCCAAAGUCAUGGUUAAGUGGGAAACGAUGUGGGAAGGCCCAGACAGCCAGGAUGUUGGCUUAGAAGCAGCCAUCAUUUAAAGAAAGCGUAAUAGCUCACUGGUCGAGUCGGCCUGCGCGGAAGAUGUAACGGGGCUAAACCAUGCACCGAAGCUGCGGCAGCGACGCUGAUGCGUUGUUGGGUAGGGGAGCGUUCUGUAAGCCUGCGAAGGUGUGCUGUGAGGCAUGCUGGAGGUAUCAGAAGUGCGAAUGCUGACAUAAGUAACGAUAAAGCGGGUGAAAAGCCCGCUCGCCGGAAGACCAAGGGUUCCUGUCCAACGUUAAUCGGGGCAGGGUGAGUCGACCCCUAAGGCGAGGCCGAAAGGCGUAGUCGAUGGGAAACAGGUUAAUAUUCCUGUACUUGGUGUUACUGCGAAGGGGGGACGGAGAAGGCUAUGUUGGCCGGGCGACGGUUGUCCCGGUUUAAGCGUGUAGGCUGGUUUUCCAGGCAAAUCCGGAAAAUCAAGGCUGAGGCGUGAUGACGAGGCACUACGGUGCUGAAGCAACAAAUGCCCUGCUUCCAGGAAAAGCCUCUAAGCAUCAGGUAACAUCAAAUCGUACCCCAAACCGACACAGGUGGUCAGGUAGAGAAUACCAAGGCGCUUGAGAGAACUCGGGUGAAGGAACUAGGCAAAAUGGUGCCGUAACUUCGGGAGAAGGCACGCUGAUAUGUAGGUGAAGCGACUUGCUCGUGGAGCUGAAAUCAGUCGAAGAUACCAGCUGGCUGCAACUGUUUAUUAAAAACACA
rnacentral:rRNA from 1 species